UCAGUUUUGGCGGGUUGAAUGAUUGAUCCAAGAACGAACUCCACCUUGUUAUUUGCAAAAAGAGCCGUGAUGAAGGAUCCGUUCCAUGAAUGAUAGUUUGUGGUAUUUAGAACGGGUGAGACAAAGAAUAUGGGGGGGGGGGUUUCAUUGGGGUGAAGGUAAAUAUACGAAUGUGUAGGAUGGAUGGGGGGAUGUGUACCAGUGUUAGCCAUUGCAGGCAAAAGAAGAGCAAGAACAAGAAUGUAGAAACAAGAACAGGAGUGCAUAAAUCAGAGAGCAACAUAAAUUUCUUCUGAUACCAUCAUAGAUUUACAAUGCAGCAAUAAAAAAAGAAAGCCAAACAGGGAGAGAAAAAAGAAGAGAGAGGCCAGAGAAAAGGAUGCAAAGAAGAAUGUAAAGUUUAUUGAUGUUACAAAGAGAUAUAAGAGAAGAAAUAUAUAGGAAAAGAGACUGAAACAGAAUAACAGAAAGGCGUAGGCCAAACAGUAAACCAAGCGGUCUAGCUAAGUGAGACCGAACAAUAUACCGAACCUUCACAAGACCGAACUAUGAUGUGGCUUGUGCAGCAAAUCAACACAGCCGAGCGAUUCAAGUUAAUAAGACCAAAUGAUACAAUGAAUCAACACAAGACCG
rnacentral:lncRNA from 1 species